UGGGGAAUCUUCCGCAAUGGGCGCAAGCCUGACGGAGCAACGCCGCGUGAGUGAAGAAGGGUUUCGACUCGUAAAGCUCUGUUGUCGGGGACGAACGUGGAGAUGGUGAAUAACCAUUUCCAAUGACGGUACCUGACGAGGAAGCCACGGCUAACUACGUGCCAGCAGCCGCGGUAAUACGUAGGUGGCGAGCGUUGUCCGGAAUUAUUGGGCGUAAAGGGAGCGCAGGCGGGAGAUCAAGUCUAUCUUAAAAGUGCGGGGCUCAACCCCGUGAGGGGAUGGAAACUGGUCUUCUUGAGUGCAGGAGAGGAAAGCGGAAUUCCUAGUGUAGCGGUGAAAUGCGUAGAUAUUAGGAGGAACACCAGUGGCGAAGGCGGCUUUCUGGACUGUAACUGACGCUGAGGCUCGAAAGCGUGGGGAGCGAACAGGAUUAGAUACCCUGGUAGU
rnacentral:rRNA from 1 species